UACGUAGAGAGCAAGCGUUGUCCGGAUUUACUGGGUGUAAAGGGUGCGUAGGCGGCUUUGCAAGUCAGAAGUGAAAUCUAUGGGCUUAACCCAUAAACUGCUUUUGAAACUGCAGGGCUUGAGUGAAGUAGAGGUAGGCGGAAUUCCCGGUGUAGCGGUGAAAUGCGUAGAGAUCGGGAGGAACACCAGUGGCGAAGGCGGCCUACUGGGCUUUAACUGACGCUGAGGCACGAAAGCGUGGGUAGCAAACAGG
rnacentral:rRNA from 1 species